CUUAAUGGAAUGUAAGCCUUACAUUGCUAAUACUUUGUUCCUUUCAAAUCUUUAUAACAUUAUGUUGUUUUCUCUAUGAAAUCUUGUUGUAUCUUUUGGUUAUGACCUUAUGAUUUGGAGAUAACCCAUAACGCUUGAUGUUUUAUAUGUAGGAGAAAAGUGAUAAAUAUGAUCACCUGGACAUUGAGAUUGUUUGCAAGGAGUAGUCUCAAAUGUCCACCGGUUGUAGGGUAAGUUUCCUUCGAGAUCUUCUUCUGUAACAAUCAUUCUCUUAUCUAACCUUUUGGAAUGUUAACAGACACAAUUGAUACAUUUCUUCUACUCCCAUCUCUCAAUCUGGUAUAGUUUACUUUCCCAUUUUGUUAUGCCCUUUCCAAACUAUUUUUGUUGUAUUUUGUUGUUUCUAAUUUAUUUUAGUAGUUCUUAGAUUAUGGAGUAGAUCUUGGCUUGGGAACUGAAACUCAUUUAAGCAUAUCUAGAAACUAGCCUUUUUUUGUAUUUAUUUCAUUUAAGUAGAUCUAGAAACAAGAUCUAUAUAAAAACUAACAUUUAUUUGUAUUUUUGUUUAUUUCAGCAACCCUGGAAUCAGAGAUCUUUUCAUCACCUUAGGUUGUAGCCUCUAAUGUGUAGGUAAAGUGUUGCUAAUUUAUUUUUUUAUAGAUAUCUGUCUAUGUCUAGAAAGCUCAAUGUGUUGCCACUCUUGAUGGUGAAGGGUGAAAAUGUCUCUAAUUGAUGACGUUUCUUCAAGAUAUGCUUAGAGAGGUUUAAGAGGUUUAGAACUUUAAAUGGAUCCCAAUGGUUGCAGUUUUCUUACUCCAGGUUUGACAUGGAUUCUGCAACAUGGUUAAGGCCAUCGAAGGCUAUUUUUGAAAACAAAUCAGAGUUGUGUUAUUUUUCCUAUGACCAGGUAUGCACAAUUGACUUGGUGGAAGCUUUUUUUUUUUUUUGCAAUUUUUUUGAGAUCUGUGUUGGUUGUUUACAUAUGCUAUUAUUAUGAUAUGGAGGGUGUAAUGGUCAAAGUAAGUUAACAAUACUAUCAUUCAAGGUUUACUGUUAUUAUGUUUUUUGAGAGCUUUAUUAAUUUUAUAUGCUAAGAAAAAUAAAAUUUAUAAACUUUCAGAAAGCUGCAGAUGAUUUGAGAGGGGAUGCUUUGAGAGGGGUGUUAUAGACGGAUUAAUUGAUUUAGAUUCAGAUAAGGUGCAACAACUAUGUGAUAAAAUAACACUUAAUUUCUAAUAGUAAUUUAAUAAAAAGUUUGGUUCUUUGGUUAACA